AUUUGGAAAGCUAAACUUCCACUCAAGAUACAGAUCUUUCUCUGGCAACUAUCCCAAGAUGCGGUGCUUACUAGGCAUGUUAUGCGCCAAAGAAAAUGGCCAGUGAACCAUGUGUGUUCCUUCUGCCACCAAAUUGAAACAUCUCAACACUUGUUUUUUGAUUGUUCUGUGCCUAGGGUUGUAUGGCGAUCGAUUGGGGUCACUCUCGGGACAGAUUUAUUCCCCUGUAACUACUGGCAGUUCUUCGUUUGGUGCCACUCCUUUCUGCCGGGUUUUGACUCAUUUUAUACCGUGGCUCUUGGGGCACUCACUUGGUCCAUCUGGCUGGCUCGUAACAAAGCUACCUUUGAGAAAAAAUGA
rnacentral:rRNA from 1 species